UUAAAGAAGAAGACUUUUAAUUUGAAAUAACAACACAUUACACAAGUUAAUUCAGUAAAGCAUCUCUGAUAUCUAACGAUAGUUACGUUUAAAUUAUUUUUGCACAACCAAAGAAAAACAUACAUUUGCACGAUCCUGUGUUUACUCUAAUGAAGAUUUGCUUCACGCUUCUUGGAUGUAAAUAACGCACCUCCUGUUCCAGCAUGCAUCCUGCUGUUAAUCCGACAACAAAACAGUUCAAGCUGGAUCAAUAAGAGUACAAGUAGAAGAUAACGCAUUUCAUUUUGAUUAGGGGAAAGUGACCAUGGAGCCUGCGAGUCUGGAGAAUCUGUGCGUUUUGUACCACAGUGCAAACUAUAUUGUUGUUAACAAACACUGGGACAUCCGUAUUGACAGUAAAAUGUGGUAUGAGAAGCAGACUGUCCAGAGUCAACUAAAGCAUCACUUCCCAGAGCUUGCAGAUCCUGGCACCUACUAUGGCUUCAGGUUUUGUCAUCAGCUGGAUUUCUCCACCAGUGGAGCUUUGUGUGUAGCACUGAACAAGGCUGCAGCAGGGCAGGCAUACCGCUGUUUUAAAGGGCGACUGGUUACCAAAGCUUAUAUUGCAUUGGUUCGUGGCACUGUGGCUGAGGAAAAAAUGACCCUGGAGUUUGCAAUCGGCAAGAACACAACUGAGGGCAAGACCCAUAUGAUGUGCAUUGAAGAAGCAGAAGGAUGUGAAAAUCCAAAGCCCUGCCAGACAAAACUUACCGUUUUAGAGCAUGGAUCAUAUGAAGGAGAUCCGGUCACAAAAGUGCUUUUACAGCCUAUGACAGGACGGACGCACCAGCUCCGAGUCCACUGUAGUUCUAUUGGCCACCCUAUAGUGGGAGACUACACCUACAGUCUACGCACAGACAACACUCCUUAUCGCAUGAUGCUGCAUGCAUAUUUCCUGCAUAUUCCACUAGAGAAUGAACCAAUUCAAGUCAUAGCCCCAGAUCCUUUUCUGCCCAGCCUCGACUCCAAAUGGGCACCACAAAGAUGUGUGAACACUUCCGAUGGUUUACUUGAGGUUAUUUUAACAGAGGCAAAAGCUGAGAUGAAACAGAGCCAAGAGGAACCAAAGACAAUGCACAAGAGGAGCAGCCCAGUGGAGAGUGAGGAACAUGCGGCUCAGUGUCAGCAGUGGCUACGUGAAUGGAAUCUGGACUGAUGAACUUGAGAAACUGAAUCUGGUUUAUCAGAACUACUGAUGAUACACCACAAUGAUUUUCCAGCUCCACAGAUUUAAACUCGUAAUAUUUGCCUCCUCCUUAUAAAGGCAGCUUGCCAGUGCUUCUCAAAAACAGUAUUUGGACAGAAAUGAGGGAAUGUGUACAAUUGCUAAUUGUAAGAAAAUUUACCUUUAUGGUUCAAAGUUUUAUGCUUUUAAAUCAAAAAAUCUUAAAUUAUGUUUUUAAAUAUGUUUUAUCUGUUUUUGUUAUAGUUUAUGGAAGUAAAUCAUAAUGUUUUAGUGCCUUUAAAGGAGCCUAGAGGUACAUCCUUUUUUUUAAAGUUCCUUUAUAAUAUCCUUAUAAUUGAAUUAUAAUAUUGAAUUGUAUGCAACACAGUAGAAUAUCAAUUCUUUGCAUCAUCAAACUACUGUGGUCCAAACAGUCCCUACCUAAAAAAAUAGAAAUGCUGCUUUAGACAGUGAAGUGUAUUUUGUUAGAUUUCUUAAGCUGGUACAUAUUUGGAAGACUUCUGUAGAGUAUCUAAAAUGUUAUUUCAGGAAAGCAAAGCCCCUAAAAAAACACACUAAAAUGAUUUAGUAUUUAUACAUAAAAAACAUUUAUUAACAACUGUAAUAAUCGGCUUUUGCACACAGGACACAUGUAGUGUUGCAAAGUCAUGAUCCAGCUGAGCAUUUUAAUAAAUAGAGGCCAUUUAGUCUAUAAGCUGAUCAUUGAGUCUUUUUUUCUUUAAGUAUUUUUCUAAGCAAUGUGUGCAUUGGCAUAAGAUCCAUUAAAGGAAUAAUCUACGCAUACUGACAUGAAAUGCAGGUACUGUAAGAUAUGGUUUGUGUCUUACUUAUAUUUUCUAUAUUGUAUAGCUAUAAUCACAAACAAGGAUUUAACUGCAAGUAGGUACAUCUGUGCAUAUGAAC